GGCAUAUUUCAACACUUGUUUGAUUGUGUCUAAUAGGCGAAUAUUGAUCUCUACCUUGCGGAACACCUCCAGGAUUUCUUUCUCCUUAUCCUGUUUCUUCGGUUUCUCCAACCUGCUAGGAAAGGGAGGCAGAUGAGUUUUUACUUCAACGAUCGGGUCAGAGAGUACCACUGAAUUUUUGCCCUUUCUGUCCUCCUUCUCAAGCCCGUUUUCAAUUUUUUUCUCAUCCUUGUCCUUUGAAAUCGUGAGUUCGGGUCCCUGAAUUUCCUUCUCGCUCCUUAAAGUCAUCGCAUUUACGUUCUUCGGGUUCAAUUCAGGUUGAGACGGUCAGAAUCUGUCUUUUGUUGAUUAGCAAUUGAUUGCUUCAUCAUCUCCUCCACAGACGGACUUGAGUUUGAAGGGGGUGGUGGCGGGCGAGGUUGAUAAUGUUGUUGAUACCCUUGCUGCCUAUUUGGUGCGAAAUUUGAUUGCCUAUUUCCUCCAUAGCUGAAGUUAGGAUGAUCUCUUCAACCCGAAUUGUACAUAUUCGAGUACGGGUCAUAUUACUUUUUUGCGCAGGCGCGUGACCAGCAAUGUUCACUUGCUCCGCACUUUCUUCUUGAAUCAUUGGGCACAUCUCUGUAGAAUGACCCAUAGCAGUGCAAAUCCCACACACUUUGGUUUGUGAUGCAGUUCUUACAGCUAAUUGCCUAACAAAAGAUGUUAACUCAGUCAAUUGUUGUUGGAUAGAAGAUGUUUCUACCUCAUUCACUUUGCAUGUCAGGACAUUCUCCCUCAUACCAAACUGCUGCGAAUUCUCAGCAAUUCCUUCAAUUAGCAUCCACGCUUCUCAAGGAGUCUUGUUCACCAAUGCUCCUCUACUUGCAGCAUCAAUUAUACUCCUGUCUCUGAAAAGUAGCCCCUCGUAAAAAUAUUGGAUGAGCAAUUGCUCACUUAUUUGGUGUUGAGGGCACUUGAUGCACAAUUUCUUGAACCGCUCCCAAUAAUCAUACAACGACUCUCCUGGAUGCUGCUUGAUACCGCAUAUCCCCUUCCUUAGACUUGCAGCUCGAGACGCAGAAAAAUAUUUAUCUAAAAAUAUAUUCUACUUGUAGCAUUUUCAGUGAAAAUAUAUUCCAUUUUGGCCAA